CUGGCGGUGUACUCCCAGGUGCUGUCGGGGCCGGCCAGGCCCUCGGAGCCGAAGUGGUCGCCGUCGGCGAUGCUGCCGAUCACGCCCUGGCCGUCCCACUUGGCCGGGGCCAGCUUGUUGAUCUUUCCGUGGGCGACGAGGAAGACGUGGUCGGCCGGUUGCCCGGCGGCCACGAUCGUCUCGCCGGCCGCGUACUCCCGUUGCUCGAACUGCCCGGCGAGCGAGGCCAGUACCGCCUCCUCGGUGAAGCCGCGCAGCAGGGGCAGUUCGCCGAGCUCCGCCGGGAUCACCCGGACCUCGGAGCCGGUCUGGAUGAAGUCCACCCGCCCGUCGCCCACCGAGUAGCUGAGCCUCCGGUUGACCCGGUAGGCGCCGCCGGCGGCCUCGACCCACGGCAGCACCCGCAGCAGCCAGCGCGACGUGAUUCCCUGCAUCUGCGGCGCGGAUUUGGUGGUCGUCGCCAAAUUCCGCGCGGCAGCGGUGCCCAGACUCCGCUGCGACUGGCCGU
rnacentral:antisense_RNA from 1 species